rnacentral:sRNA from 1 species
CAAAAAAUAAAAAAAAAAUAUCUGUUAUCUAGAGCAAGCUAAAAUAAGGUACAAGGAUCAGAAAAAUGACGAGGGAGUUGGUAAUUCUUGGUGGCAGUGUCCCGAGAGGGGAAGCAGGGGUCUCUGGUGGCCUGUUCUUGCUUUGCAUGAUUGUUUUCUCCCUCUCAAUUAUCGCAAUGGUCAUCUUCGCUUGUGGCGAUGACAACUCUGAAAAGCCUCGCCGGAAUCAUGCUGCAGGUGGUGGCGGUGGAGGUUGUGGGGGCGGUGGCGGUUGCUGAGGAUAUCUGAAUUUAUGUGCGUCAUUGAUUAAUUUCAACAGCAACGAUUAAUAACUUUGUAGUUAUAACGUCCUGACAAACUUGUUUGUUGUAUUUGUAUUUUUUAUGAGAUUUGUUGAUAAUAUAUAGUUGCACCAUAUCCAUGUUCAUGUCUUUGUAACCAUGAUUAAAUAUAGUCAGGGGUUAAACUAUUUCAUAA